rnacentral:ribozyme from 1 species
GGAUGUGGGUGAAGGGGGAAAUGGGGGGAAGAGGGAGCAGUUGCGGAGGAGACAGGGGUGGCUUGGAUGCUCUGCGGCAGGAGGACAAGCGGCUGCGGUCUCAGCGCCGCCAGCCAACGACAACGCGCAGGAGUCGCUCCUCGCGGGGGUCCCAGGAACGCC